rnacentral:rRNA from 1 species
CCUACGGGAGGCAGCAGUAGGGAAUAUUGCUCAAUGGGGGAAACCCUGACGCAGCAACGCCGCGUGGAGGAUGCAGGUUUUCGGAUCGUAAACUCCUUUUGUUAGAGAAGAUAAUGACGGUAUCUAACGAAUAAGCACUUGCUAACUCCGUGCCAGCAGCCGCGGUCUUACGGAGGGUGCCAGCGUUCCUCGGAAUCACUGGGCGUAAAGAGCGCGUAGGCGGGAUAGCAAGUCAGAUGUGAAAGCCUAUGGCUUAACCAUAGAACUGCAUUUGAAACUGGUAUUCUAGAGUAUGGGAGAGGUAGGUGGAAGUCGUGGUGUAGGGGUGAAAUCCGUAGAGAUCAAGAGGAAGACUCAUUGCGAAGGCGACCUGCUAGAACAUAACUGACGCUGAUGCGCGAAAGCGUGGGGAGCAAACAGGAUUAGAUACCCCGGUAGUC